rnacentral:misc_RNA from 1 species
UCCGGUUUGUCACCGGCAGUCCCAUUAGAGUGCUCAACUGAAUGUAGCAACUAAAGGCAAGGGUUGCGCUCGUUGCGGGGCUUAACCCAACAUCUCACGACACGAGCUGACGACAGCCAUGCAGCACCUGUGUUCGGUCCAGCCGAACUGAAGAGAUCCAUCUCUGGUUCUCGCGACCGACAUGUCAAGGGUAGGUAAGGUUCUGCGCGUUGCUUCGAAUUAAACCACAUGCUCCUCUGCUUGUGCGGGCCCCCGUCAAUUCCUUUGAGUUUCAACCUUGCGGUCGUACUCCCCAGGUGGAAUACUUAACGAUUUCUCUUGGACGCUAACAGUAUAUCGCUAACAUCGAGUAUUCAACGUUUACGGCGUGGACUAC